rnacentral:rRNA from 1 species
CCUACGGGGGGCUGCAGUGGGGAAUAUUGGACAAUGGGGGCAACCCUGAUCCAGCCAUGCCGCGUGUGUGAAGAAGGCCCUCGGGUUGUAAAGCACUUUCAGUGAGGAAGAACGCCUGGUGGUUAAUACCCAUCAGGAAAGACAUCACUCACAGAAGAAGCACCGGCUAACUCCGUGCCAGCAGCCGCGGUAAUACGGAGGAUGCGAGCGUUAAUCGGAAUUACUGGGCGUAAAGCGCGCGUAGGUGGCUUGAUAAGCCGGUUGUGAAAGCCCCGGGCUCAACCUGGGAACGGCAUCCGGAACUGUCAAGCUAGAGUGCAGGAGAGGAAGGUAGAAUUCCCGGUGUAGCGGUGAAAUGCGUAGAGAUCGGGAGGAAUACCAGUGGCGAAGGCGGCCUUCUGGACUGACACUGACACUGAGGUGCGAAAGCGUGGGUAGCAAACAGGAUUAGAUACCCCUGUAGUC